rnacentral:sRNA from 1 species
CUCGUCAAGGCCCUUCUCCUUCUGGGGCUGAACCCCGUCUCUGCCUCCCUCCAGGACCAGCACUGCGAGAGCCUCUCCCUGGCCAGCAACAUCUCAGACAAUGGCUACCGGGAGUGCCUGGCCAAUGGCAGCUGGGCCGCCCGCGUGAAUUACUCCGAGUGCCAGGAGAUCCUCAAUGAGGAGAAAAAAAGCAAGGUGCACUACCAUGUCGCAGUCAUCAUCAACUACCUGGGUCACUGCAUCUCCCUGGUGGCCCUCCUGGUGGCGUUUGUCCUCUUUCUGCGGCUCAGGAGCAUCCGGUGCCUGCGAAACAUCAUCCACUGGAACCUCAUCUCCGCCUUCAUCCUGCGCAACGCCACCUGGUUCGUGGUCCAGCUAACCAUGAGCCCCGAGGUCCACCAGAGCAACGUGGUACGUCCUGGCAGGGGAGUGGGGAGCAGGUCAGGCCAAGCUCAGGUCAGAGGAGGGGCCCAGGUGGGCCUGCCCUGCAGAGGAGGAGCCCACAGAACAGGAGUGGGAUCCCAGGGUAUGCCCUGUCCUGCCCGGGGGAGGCCCAGGCCCAGGGUUUGGUGCCGCCCCUGCCCCCCAUCAUCAUCUCUGGUUGGGGGUGGGGUGGCAGGGCUGGUGCAGGUUGGUGACAGCCGCCUACAACUACUUCCAUGUGACCAACUUCUUCUGGAUGUUCGGCGAGGGCUGCUACCUGCACACAGCCAUCGUGCUCACCUACUCCACCGACCGGCUGCGCAAGUGGAUGUUCAUCUGCAUCGGCUGGGGUGUGCCCUUCCCCAUCAUUGUGGCCUGGGCUAUUGGGAAGCUGUACUACGACAAUGAGAA